CGAAAGCUAUUUAGGUAGCGCCUCGGACGAACACCAUGGGGGGUAGAGCACUGUUAAGGCUAGGGGGUCAUCCCGACUUACCAACCCUUUGCAAACUCCGAAUACCCAUGAGUGCUAUCCGGGAGACACACGGCGGGUGCUAACGUCCGUCGUGGAAAGGGAAACAACCCAGACCGCCAGCUAAGGUCCCAAAAUAUUGCUAAGUGGGAAACGAUGUGGGAAGGCUAAGACAGCUAGGAGGUUGGCUUAGAAGCAGCCAUCCUUUAAAGAAAGCGUAACAGCUCACUGGUCAAGCGCUCCUGCGCGGAAAAUGUAACGGGGCUUAAGUGAUACACCGAAGCUGCGGAUUCGAUCUUUGAUCGAGUGGUAGCGGAGCGUUCCGUAGGCCGAUGAAGGUGGACCCGCGAGGGCCGCUGGAGGUAUCGGAAGUGAGAAUGCUGACAUGAGUAGCGAUAAAGAGUGUGAGAGACACUCUCGCCGAAAGUCCAAGGGUUCCUGCGCAAUGCUAAUCAGCGCAGGGUUAGUCGGCCCCUAAGGCGAGGCAGAAAUGCGUAGUCG
rnacentral:rRNA from 9 species